rnacentral:rRNA from 1 species
UACGUAGGGUGCGAGCGUUAAUCGGAAUUACUGGGCGUAAAGCGUGCGCAGGCGGUUUUGUAAGCCAGAUGUGAAAGCCCCGGGCUCAACCUGGGAAUGGCAUUUGGGACUGCAAGGCUUGAGUGCGGCAGAGGAGACUGGAAUUCCAGGUGUAGCGGUGAAAUGCGUAGAUAUCUGGAGGAACACCGGUGGCGAAGGCGGCAUCCUGGACCGACACUGACGCUGAUGAGCGAAAGCCAGGGGAGCAAACGGG